rnacentral:sRNA from 1 species
GCCGGGCGUGGUGGCUCACGCCUGUAAUCCCCACACUUUGGGAGGCUGAGGCAGGUGGAUCACCUGAGGUCAGGAGUUCAAGACCAGCCUGACCAAUAUGGUGAAACCCCGUCUCUA